GUAACGUAAAGCUCUAUCAGCAGGGAAGAAAAUGACGGUACCUGACUAAGAAGCCCCGGCUAACUACGUGCCAGCAGCCGCGGUAAUACGUAGGGGGCAAGCGUUAUCCGGAUUUACUGGGUGUAAAGGGAGCGUAGACGGCACAGCAAGUCUGAUGUGAAAGCCCGGGGCCCAACCCCGGAACUGCAUUGGAAACUGCUGGGCUUGAGUGCAGGAGAGGUAAGCGGAAUUCCUAGUGUAGCGGUGAAAUGCGUAGAUAUUAGGAGGAACACCAGUGGCGAAGGCGGCUUACUGGACUGUAACUGACGUUGAGGCUCGAAAGCGUGGGGAGCAAACAGGAUUAGAUACCCUGGUAGUCCACGCCGUAAA
rnacentral:rRNA from 1 species